ACGCUCGACACCUACGGGAAGCAGCAGUCGGGAAUAUUGCGCAAUGGAGGAAACUCUGACGCAGUGACGCCGCGUAUAGGAAGAAGGUUUUCGGAUUGUAAACUAUUGUCGUUAGGGAAGAAAAAAGACAGUACCUAAGGAGGAAGCUCCGGCUAACUACGUGCCAGCAGCCGCGGUAAUCUGAGCGGGCUGGCAAGGC
rnacentral:rRNA from 1 species